UUUUUAUGGAGAGUUUGAUCCUGGCUCAGGAUGAACGCUGGCGGCGUGCCUAAUACAUGCAAGUCGAGCGAACAGACGAGGAGCUUGCUCCUCUGACGUUAGCGGCGGACGGGUGAGUAACACGUGGAUAACCUACCUAUAAGACUGGGAUAACUUCGGGAAACCGGAGCUAAUACCGGAUAAUAUAUUGAACCGCAUGGUUCAAUAGUGAAAGACGGUUUUGCUGUCACUUAUAGAUGGAUCCGCGCCGCAUUAGCUAGUUGGUAAGGUAACGGCUUACCAAGGCAACGAUGCGUAGCCGACCUGAGAGGGUGAUCGGCCACACUGGAACUGAGACACGGUC
rnacentral:rRNA from 1 species